rnacentral:lncRNA from 1 species
CUGGAAGACAGUGUUGGAAGAAGGGGCUCCACAAGACAGUCUCGGCUUCUGUGAAGCCAACCUCUUCCCUCCUUGUCCUCCCCUGACUCCAGAACUUGGGCCCAGACAGCCAAAGCCCAGGGGACAACGAGUGACUCAGACGCUUCCUGUUUUCUUGGCCACAGUGACAGAAGGAUGGAAACAGCCCUGAGCUGGGGUUCAUGGCUGAAGAGAGGGGGCCUGGAGAGAUGAGGAGCCUGGAGCUGUGGGGCCAGCCUGCCCUGAGAUGCGGGAGGAGUGAGCUGGGCAGAGCCACAUGGGGUGGUCUCCUGGCCUCGCUGGGUGGAAAUGAGGGUGGUUUGUUGGGUGGCCAGGUCCACAAAGCAGGGAGGACUUGGGGCCAGCGUUUCUUGAAAGGAGCCUUCAUAGAGAAAUGAAGACCCGAAGAAACAGGCCUGAGGAUUUCAAUGCUGGGUUUGCCGUGUGGGAACACCAGAGGGCAGGAAGACGAGCCUGGAGAGCAGAGUCCCCGGAGUCCACAAGCCUGGUGAGGCAGGCACCAGCACUGAUGCCAACAGCACAUCACUGGCCUCAGACACUUACGGCAGUGCUGCCACAGGAAAGACAGCCGCAAGGGAGGCUGUCCGGUGGCCUGCUCACUCUGAGGAUGCAGCCCAGCCUGGGCACUGCAGGAUAGAUGCAAGAGGAGAGAAGAUGCCAAGCUCCCAGGACCUCAAACACACCUCAGGGCCUUUGCACAUGCAGUUCCCUCCAUCAGUUCCCAUGCCUUCCCUGCUCCAUGCCAUCUAGAAAAUGGCUCCAUAUCCUUCAAGUGUCAUGUCCAAUGCCCCCUUCCCUGUGAAGCCAGCCCCACCGUCCCGAAGCCUCCACAGUGUCCAUCAUUCUUCCAUUGGAGCCUGCAUUCCCCUGCGUGGUGUUUAGAACCACCUUGCUUUCCCCCACCCCCCACUGCCUGCCCCUUCAGACCCUGAGCCCCUGGGGGGCACAGGCCAGGUCCCGUUUCACGGCGGCAGGAAGAAAUGAACCAAC